GGAAAGGUGGUCGAGCGGUUUAUGACAGCAGUCUUGAAAACUGCCGAGGUGCGAGCCUCCGUGGGUUCGAAUCCCACCCUUUCCGCCA
rnacentral:tRNA from 1 species